GACCCCCUUCUUCAAGCUCUUGCCUCUCAAAUCCUUCAAUCCGCCCAAUUCCACCAGUACCCAAGUCUUCGUACUCAGAAAUUUCAAUCGCAUUACCAAUUUCAACCCCUCAAUCCCCAAAAUCAGAAGCGGUUUACUGAGCAAGAACUUCCCCAAGUUGUCCACCAUUCUACUGUCUCCUCUCUUCUCUCCCGCAUCGAAGCCCUAGAAUCCUCU
rnacentral:misc_RNA from 1 species